CGACGAGUGGCGGACGGGUGAGUAACGCAUAGGAAUCUGCCUAGUAGUGGGGGACAACCUGGGGAAACUCAGGCUAAUACCGCAUACGCCCUUCGGGGGAAAGGCUUCGGCCGCUAUUAGAUGAGCCUAUGUCUGAUUAGCUUGUUGGUGGGGUAAUGGCCUACCAAGGCGACGAUCAGUAGCUGGUCUGAGAGGACGAUCAGCCACACUGGGACUGAGACACGGCCCAG
rnacentral:rRNA from 1 species